rnacentral:tRNA from 1 species
AUCUCUGUGGUGCAAUCAGUUAGUGCGUUUGGCUUUUAACGAAAAGGUUGGUGGUUCGAGCCCACCUAGGGACG